rnacentral:rRNA from 1 species
UACGGAGGAUGCAAGCGUUAUCCGGAUUUAUUGGGUUUAAAGGGUGCGCAGGUGGCUUAGUAAGUCAGUGGUGAAAGUCUGCCGCUUAACGGUAGGACUGCCAUUGAUACUGGGUACCUGGAGUUUAGUUGAAGUGGGCGGAAUGUAUGGUGUAGCGGUGAAAUGCUUAGAUAUUACACAGAACACCGAUUGCGAAGGCAGCUUACUAAUCCGCAACUGACACUGAGGCACGAAAGCGUGGGGAU